rnacentral:lncRNA from 1 species
GAAGGCUGAAUUUUGUCUACCCGAACAGAAUAUAGAAGAAAUUGGCCAACCAGUGUGCGCGGGGUGGAAUCAGAAAUGCUCAUAGGAGCUGUCUSAGUCCACGGGGCGCAAACACGUGCCGAAAUGCAGCGCCGGAUCGGUUGCACAGGAUCGUCUUCCUGCCGUGACAUGUCAUUCCGAGAAGCCACAACACRCAGCAUGGAAACAACCAUGCAGAUCAAAGAAAAACAUGUCCGUCUUUUGCUGUUGCUGUCGCUCAGCUACUUCWGAAGAGCAGGAACCACUUCCCGUGCACGCAAGGCAGCCCUGCCGAAACAUCGGGGUCUUCAGUAAGGAGGGGACCCUCACAAUGAAGCUGGUAAACGUACUUGCCAUGGACACCCUGUUCUCAGAUAUCGCUCAAGCCUUCAACAAGCAGCACGAGGACCACUCUGCCAUGAAGAAGGCUGCCCAAAAGCUGAAGGAGCUUUCUGGCUGCGCUCCCACUGCUGGUCUUGCAGCCUGCGUAGAGCAGGCACAGCAGGAGCACGGUGCCCGCGAGGUGCAGGUGCACAUGGAGGGCUAUAGUUUUUCACUCAUUGUAAAGGAGAGGAAAGUGCCAGACAAACUGCAGCGGGUCCAGCAGCAGAUGGAGGAGCUGAGUAAUUCCACAAAACGUGUCCUUGCAACAGAAACUGCCCUGCAGGAAAUGAUCUGCUCAGUGCUUGAGAACCAGACUCAGCUGGCAGAGAGAAUCAAAUCUGCAAACCCAGAGUAUCUGGACCAGGUACGGCUAGAAGCUAAUCUAAGAGAGAACAUCCAAAAAAUCAGCCUGGCCAAGGAGCUCUCAGAGGAGUACAGCGAAGGGGCCAAGAGCAUUCUCCGGGAAAUGGCUCAGCUAGCUGGCUUGACGCUGUAAGGGGCUCCUGAAAUAGGGACAGGAUUGAUGUUAAUACCCUGUUGCACAUACAGAGCAAUAGCUUAGAGGAUGCCUGGGUGGUGUACUGACUUGGUGRUGUAGGUAAAGAGCCCUCAGCAAAUGGCUUAUGGGCAGCUCUGGGUCCCAAAUGUGUUUUAUCCAACGACAGGCAGAGGGAUGCAUCUGAGAAAAGGCUUUGAUUUUCACCUGAGCCAUUAUUACAGGUGGACAGAAAMUCACUGUUUCCAUGUAGUGCGUCAGAUCAGCCUAUCUGCAUUAAAGUAUGGCAAAACAAGGAGUACCUGACCAAAAUAAAGGCAACUUGGACUGGAAUUUGGUAAAAUUU